GUUUUAUGAAUUGCGAUUUUAACAGAAUUAUUCAAGUUUUGUUUAAAUGAUUAUUAGAUAUUGCAAUAAAAUAUCUCGAGUAUACUUAGCUAGAGCUGGAUGACUCGUCAGUCUUUAUCUCACUGAGGUACGUUAUAAUGAUCAACUUGAAAGUGAAGCGUAUCAAAUUAAAAACAAAAAAAAAGCCAUUAACGGAGGCCCUUCAAACUUCAAGCAACUAAUUUUGUUAAGUUGUCAAGUUUAUGAAAACUCUAAGGAUAUAUUGCUUAUAAAAAAUAGGAAGGAGAAAACCAGGCAGAACCUGUUUAUUUACAAAACGAUAUAGUAAGAAUGAACUAAAGCUCAUUAAAAGAAACCAAAUAUCCUAAAAAUUAAACGCAUCCGCUCUUUUCGCACUUUAAUCUAUUCGUUUUAAGCUAAACAACUCGAACAAUUAUCGAGCUUUCAUGCACUUAUGCCUAAUUGAAGUUUCAAUGAUUUGACGUAUUUUUCGUUGCUUUCUAACAGCGAAAAAAUUCACUGGCUCAAUCACAAUUUUCCACUGUAUCUCCUUAAUUUAUCUUUUAUACAGUCAAUAUGGCUUGGUGCCUCAUUAUUUUAAUUUUCUGUGGAAACUAGCGAUUUAUAUCUUCAAAUGUUUGAAAAGAUAGGAAAUCAAUUAUAGUAACAAAACAAUUCUCUCUCUCUAGAUUUAUAUAUGGACAAAUAAUUGACUCAGUGAAUGGAUAAAAGGUUUUACAAUUAUCUAGCGGUUUUGUGAUCUUUUUAUUUAGGUUUAAGUUAAGCGAAAGCUUACGUUAAGAAUUAAGCAGAAGUUGUAAUAAUACUGCUUUACACAAAUUUAGUUUUAGUAUUUGAAUUCUAGCGUAAAAAUAACACA